GGGGUAAACCUGCGAAACUCGAAUGAACGAACGGAGAGAUUCAUCGUCACUCCGCGGCGUACGGAUGCGCUUCUAGAUGAUCGUUGGCCUCGGUCGGCGGUCACUGGGCGCGUCCGUCGACGUCCGUGGACGGCGUGCACUUCUCUCUUAGUAAACAUACAUCGCGACCCGUUCGAUGUCGGCCUAAGCGCCGUUCGGGAGCCCCGCUGUCCCUUAACGGGGGCGACGGGACCGCGACGGACGCCGACCGGCCGUCGGACGGUAUAAUAUAUGAAACGCGCACGCGUUUACGACGCGUCCGGCCCGACGCAAAUUCACUUGGUAUCCGACGUUCACCGCCCGAGUGCGGACGUUGGUGCUACGUAAUUGUGUACUAUAGCCGCCGUGUAGUAUCGGACUGUGCGCGUCUCCGUCUGCGAUGAUUCAGUUUCGGGCACUCGCAGGACCCGUCUUGAAACACGGACCAAGGAGUCUAGCAUGUAUGCGAGUCAUUGAGAUUAUUUAUAAACUGAAAGGCGUAACGAAAGUGAAGGCGUGCGCUUGUCGCGCGCUCAGGGAGGAUGGAGCGUCGGUCUAGGUCGAUCUCUCGCACUCCCGAGGCGUCUCGUUUCCAAUCCGUGAAUGCAGGCGCGCUC
rnacentral:rRNA from 1 species